GAUUAACACUGACGGUAUGCCUAAUACAUGCAAGUCGAGCGCGAAGUUUACUUCGAGCGGCGAACGGGUGAGUAACGCGUAAGUAACCUGCCCAUAAGACGAGGAUAACUGUUGGAAACGAUAGCUAAUACUGGAUAGUAUAAUUGAUCGCAUGAUCGAUUAUUUAAAGGUGCGUUUGCACCACUUAUGGAGGGACUUGCGUCGCAUUAGCUAGUUGGUGGGGUAAAAGCCUACCAAGGCGACGAUGCGUAACCGGGCUGAGAGGCUGAACGGUCACACUGGAACUGAGACACGGUCCAGACUCCUACGGGAGGCAGCAGUAGGGAAUUUUCCACAAUGGGCGCAAGCCUGAUGGAGCAAUGCCGCGUGAAUGAUGAAGGUUUUCGGAUCGUAAAAUUCUGUUGUAUGGGAAGAAUAGGUAAUAGAGGAAAUGCUAUUACUGUGACGGUACCAUAAGAGAAAGCCCCGGCUAACUACGUGCCAGCCGCCGCCGUAAC
rnacentral:rRNA from 1 species